GCAGCAGGUUCCCAAUUAGGGGUAAUGGUUUUGGUCCUGGAGGUUCCUUUCUGUCUUCCUUGGAGCUGAAGCUAGAGGAGCAGACAAGGUAGACGAGUAGCAGGACAACAAGACCCCCCAACAGGGAGAUAGAGCUGGAGGACUGGAGAAACAGUUCUAAUACCCCCAUGACUU